CUCAGGACGAACGCUGGCGGCGUGCUUAACACAUGCAAGUCGAGCGGUAAGGCUCCUUCGGGAGUACACGAGCGGCGAACGGGUGAGUAACACGUGAGCAAUCUGCCCUUCACUCUGGGAUAAGCCUGGGAAACUGGGUCUAAUACCGGAUAUGACUUCGGGAUGCAUGUUCUGGAGUGGAAAGUUCUGGCGGUGAAGGAUGAGCUCGCGGCCUAUCAGCUUGUUGGUGGGGUAAUGGCCUACCAAGGCGACGACGGGUAGCCGGCCUGAGAGGGUGACCGGCCACACUGGGACUGAGACACGGCCCAGACUCCUACGGGAGGCAGCAGUGGGGAAUAUUGGACAAUGGGCGAAAGCCUGAUCCAGCAACGCCGCGUGAGGGAUGACGGCCUUCGGGUUGUAAACCUCUUUCAGCAGGGACGAAGCGCAAGUGACGGUACCUGCAGAAGAAGCACCGGCCAACUACGUGCCAGCAGCCGCGGUAAUACGUAGGGUGCGAGCGUUGUCCGGAAUUAUUGGGCGUAAAGGGCUCGUAGGCGGUUUGUCGCGUCGGGAGUGAAAACUCAGGGCUCAACCCUGUUCGUGCUUCCGAUACGGGCAAACUAGAGGUAGGCAGGGGAGAACGGAAUUCCUGGUGUAGCGGUGGAAUGCGCAGAUAUCAGGAGGAACACCGGUGGCGAAGGCGGUUCUCUGGGCCUAUUCUGACGCUGAGGAGCGAAAGCAUGGGGAGCGAACAGGAUUAGAUACCCUGGUAGUCCAUGCCGUAAACGUUGGGCGCUAGGUGUGGGGCUCGUUCCACGAGUUCCGUGCCGCAGCUAACGCAUUAAG
rnacentral:rRNA from 2 species